GUUGGGAUUACAGGCGUGAGCCAUCAUGCCUGGCCAAAACCAACAUAUUUUAUGGAUAGGAAAUUGAGGCUUAGAUGGGGGGAGAAAAACAUUACACAGAUUAAACCACAGCUAAUGUCAAGUGGUGACCAAAGGCGAAUCUUUUAUUGCAGGCUGUGGGUUUUUCCAUGUGGCCAGUUUCCUGUGCAGACCCAGGUGCAAUCCCAUCUCUAAGACAGGAUGCUAUUAGGUCUCAACAACCCAUGGGAAUUUAGGGUGCUCACGAUUUAGGCCGGGAAGAGGUGACUAAGCUCCUUGGUCUAAGGUCUAUGCAACUGGCCACUCACUCUGGACCAGGGACAUUCAAUGCCAGACAGCGGUAGGGGUGGUCUGGGGUGACAAGCCAGAUCCUGGGCAAAGCAGCCUUUCUGCUAAGGGUUCCCUGGCAGAGCACGACGAUGGCCACUUGGGAAUGUGAUCUGACAGUGACAGAAGUCUUCUUUCAAAGCCCAUUCCUAGGGCCUGCCGUUUCCCCAGCACUGUGUCCCAGGAAGCCCCCUUGCUAACCAUCUUUAUAAACGACUAAAACAUGUUUUGGAAAGUAGUUUUUCUUGGUAUUUAGUGUAUUGCUUACUCUCUUACUGUACUAAUAAUAUGAAUUGCUGAAGGCUUCCUGGAAAUCAAAACUACAAAUUAGAGAAAAAUAGGGUUAGAGAAAAUGUCUUUGAUAGUCCACUUUGAAAUUCAAAUAAUGAUUUGAGAGGUUUAAGAAUUAUUAUGUGAAUAGAUGGUGAAGUGACAGAAUAUUAAUUAUAGAAUCUAGCCAGUGUAUUUUUCAUAAUAAAAUGUUGGAAAAAAGUAUUAUCACAUUGUCUGUGGUUACCAAUAUCCAACAAGUUCAUGGGCUCCUACCGCUGGAUGUAACAGCAAAAAGUCUUGAAACAUAAAUUAAAUAUGGAAAUUAAUAGGGAAAGAUACAUGAUGGGGGAUUUACUAUGUGGAACAGACUCCAUUUGGAUCUUUUUUCACACCUUAAAAAAAAAAAAAAAAAAAAAAAA